rnacentral:lncRNA from 1 species
AUCAUACACAAGGAGGGCACUGGCCACCUGACUGCAGAGAGCCACUGCUGUGGAGUCACAAAGCGAAGCCUACCCUGUGGGAGAGCCAGGAACAUUUCUGACUUGUGGAAGGCCUGGGGCACCAUGGCAAAGGAGCAAGUGAGAUGGGCCAUCCUAAACGGCUGUCGCAUGCCAGGAUGAAGGGCCAUGCAUCCAUUCAUUUGGCUGGAUACUAAGGACAGGGCCAUGCUUCUGUUCAUCUACUGGGACACUAAGGAAUCUGCAAGGAAUCUAUUCAUCAGCUUGGAUACUAAGACAGAGCCAUGCAUCUAGUCAUCUUCUUGGAUACUAAGGAAAGGCUGCUUCUGUCUUUGUGCAAGACAGGGCUAUGCAUCUGUUCAAGUGGUGGGAUAAUAAGAUAAGUCUGCUUUGGUUUUCUUUAUGACAGAGCCAUGUUUCUGUUCAUCUACCAAGACAUUAAAGUAAUUCUGCUUCUGUCUUCCUACAGGAGAGAUCCGUAUAUCUUUUCACCUGUUGGGAUACUAAGAUAAGUCUGUUUGCCUUCCUACACAAUGGGGACAUGCAUCUAUUCAUCUGCUCAGACACUAAGGUAGGGAUGCUGAUGUCUUCCUACAGGAUAGGGCCAUGUAUCUCUUCAUCUUACUGGAUACCAAGAAUGGGGCCAUGCAUCUGUUCAUCUUCUCAUAUACUAAAAUCAUGCAUCUGUUCAUCUGCCUGAAUACUAGGGACAGGGCCAUGCAUCUGUUCAUCUUCUUAUAUACUAAGGACAGAUCCACACACUUCAUCUGCUUGGACACCAUGAAAGUCUCCUUCUGUCUACCUACAGGACACAGCCAUGAAUCUAUUCAUCAGCUCAGAUACCAAGGACCUUGUGCUUUCAAGGUAGGCAAAGCACCACUGAGCUACCUUCCCACCUGCUGAUGUCUUCCUGCAAGACAGGGUCAUGCAUUUGGUCAUCUUCUCAGAUACUAAGGUAAGGCUGCUCCUGUCAUCAUACAAGACAGGGCCGUGCAUCUGUUCAUGUGCUGGGAUACUAAGGUAAGUCUACUGAUGUUUUCCUACAUGACAGAAUCAUGCAUCUGUUCAUCUGCCUGAAUACUAGGGUAAGGCUCCUGAUGUCUUCCUGUAGGAUAAAGCCAUGCAUGUCUUCAUGGGCCUAGGUACUACCUUAAUUGUUCUUCUGUCUUCCCACAGGACAGGGCCAUGGAUCUGUUCUUCUCCUUAUAUACUCAGGUAAGUCUGCUUCUGUCUUCCUAGAGGACAGAGCCAUGCAUUUGUUCAUCUACACAGACACUAAGGCAAGUCUUUGGAUGUCCUCCUGCAGGACAGAUCCAUGCAUCUGUUAAUGUGCACAGAUACUAAAGUAAGUCUGUUAAAAUCCUUGUGUUGGACCCAGCUUCUUUUGAACUUUCUUGGUGGCCAUGGAGUGAGUGUUUUGUCCCCUGAAGAGUUCAAACUUACUUGGCAUCCUAACG